GGCAUUUAUAAAUUGUGCUCUAUGCUUAUGACUGCAUUAGAAUAUGAUGGUCAGGAAAGCCAACUACUAAGAAUUCAUCUGCAGUCGGAAAAGGCCUCUGCCACACAGCAGUCAGUCACCUACAAUGAAUAAGCUGAAUCCAGUGGACUGUGACGGUGAGACACUGCUGGGUUACAAGUAAGAAAGAAGCCUGAGUGAUGCUGUAUCUUGGAAAGACAUUCCCAGGCCUCGGGCUUCAAGCAUGAGUAUUUUGGAAACCUCUCCAGCGACUUGGAUAUACUCCUCACUGCACACCUCAUGGCUAGAGGGACCAUCUGGGAGAGGAAGGUUUUUUAGUUUUCUCCUCGGUAUCAUCUGUGCCUAGCAUGAUACCCAUGUGGUGGUAGCAUGAAAGCAAAUGAUGUCCUCUUUCGCUUGGCAAGAGAGAAACAGAAGAGAGAGAAAGGAAACAAAGCUCUCACCUGUAAGACAGGAAGACUCAUUAAUGGAUGAAUUAGAACUAGACUUGAGUCUAAAAGAAAAUUUUAUGUGCAUAUACAACUUCAGAAGGGGGGACAGUUUUCUAGGAAAUAGCAUGCACAAAAUACAUACAGAUUGAGAUAACUAUUCCAUAAAGAAUAGGGAAGAAAUUCGUGUGAUGGAAAAGUUAACAACACAUGUACAUUUUAUUAAUUUAAAUAGGCAUGUUGGUACCAAGUAUAGCUUUUCUGCCAUUCCUUUUUCUAGUUCAGAUGUAGCAUCAUGAGAUUUGAAGCUGGAUGAUUCCACAUUCUAAAUGUUUACAAGCUAAAAUACUUUAAAGAAAUUCACAUUUUUCAUGCUACAGUGUAUUGAUUUCUAUCUCAAUGAAAGGUAAAGCUAACUAUUUACUAACUACCUUCUUCCACAAAGCUGAUCUUUCUUGUCUUUAGAUGAUUCUGUAUGUUUUGUCUGUCUGAAUUGGCUCCCACUCACCUGGUCUCUUACUACAGA